rnacentral:rRNA from 1 species
CCUACGGGGGGCAGCAGUGGGGAAUAUUGGGCAAUGGGGGAAAGCCUGACGCAGCAACGCCGCGUGAAGGAAGAAGGCUUUCGGGUUGUAAACUUCUAUUAAGAGGGAAGAGCAGAAGACGGUACCUCUUGAAUAAGCCACGGAUAACUACGUGCCAGCAGCCGCGGUAAUACGUAGGUGGAAAGCGUUGUCCGGAUUUACUGGGUGUAAAGGGCGUGUAGCCGGGCUGACAAGUCAGAUGUGAAAUCCCGUGGCUCAACCACGGAACUGCAUUUGAAACUGUCGGUCUUGAGUAUCGGAGAGGCAGGCGGAAUUCCUAGUGUAGCGGUGAAAUGCGUAGAUAUUAGGAGGAACACCAGUGGCGAAGGCGGCCUGCUGGACGACAACUGACGGUGAGGCGCGAAAGCGUGGGGAGCAAACAGGAUUAGAUACCCCGGUAGUC